UCAUGGAAACUGCAAAAGGUACAGUCACUUUGGAAAUCAGCCUGGCAGUUUCUUGUAAAAUUAAACAUACAUUUACCAUAAAUUAGAAUUUUAGGAAAUUUUGUUAAAUAUUCUCACAAUUAAAACUUUCCAACGGUUCAGUUUCUGAAUCGAAUUGCUGCUGGUUUAUCCUCCUGGAUAUUUUUUACUGUGUUGAACUUCGACUUCAGUUAAGUUCGUAUUUCUAAACCUAACACAGAGUCAAAGGUGAAUGAAUCAUGGUAUAAAUUCAUCAGAGAGAUGGGUCUUGUCUGGCAAUUGCUUUAAGGAGUAAAGGAGAACGGGAAAGAAUGGUCAGAUGAAAUACGCUGGUUGUAGUAUUUCAAAAUGAAAAGGACAAGCCAAGAGGCAGGGGGAGCAAGAAACCCCAGCUCAACAGGCGAGCCACCUGGAGGACAGGGCCCUGCAGCCAGCGGAGUCUACGUCCUACAGAAGACCACUCCCCUAGCUCUGACCACGAGGCACCUUCUGAGGCCAAACCAAGCAACUAGAAAGGCGGCUGGUCAUCGUUAUGGUCACUUCCCCGGGCCGGUGGGCUAUGCAAAGAGGCCAUACAGGUGAAGGAUAUCUGAGGAGGUGCUGGUCCCGCCUUUGAUCCUCACCACCACCUGACGAAAAUGAGGAUCACUGCGAGGACCUCUGACCCCGGUGCUCCUCGGAUCCCGCAUCAACUCCAUACCGAGUUCCCCGCCGAUACCCCGCGUCCGACUCACAGACGCCAUUGCCCAGGGGCUUCUUACCCUGCUCCAAGCAGCCAGCUUUCUGUCCGCGCCAGGGGAGUCUGGAGCUGUUGCUGUCCGUUGCCACAGCAACCGCGGAGUGCCUCACAGCCUAGUAAAACGAGCAACGAUUGGACAAUGUGAGCGUCCUUAGCAACCGCCUGGCAAGCCCUAUCCCACAGAAGAAUUUGCUUUCCAGAAAUUCAUGCGAUAACCUCUCUCCCCAAAGCCACCAGCCACCUGUCUUAGUUCCUUAAAGGCGUUUUGUGCAUUAUCUCACUGAAUGCUUGCCUCCCCGUUUGGUGUGAAGAAUCCCCUUUUCCAGAGGAGUUUUCAAUCUGGGGUCUUUUAACCUCUUCUGGAGGUUCACGCAUCAACCCUCACCAAGUUAUAUUUAAAAGUUUGUGUCCAUUUACCCGGGAAGAUUCUCAAAGGAAUUGGAAAUAAAACUCAGGCUGCCAGGUGCCUAAGACAGUUCACAAGAAUAACUUUCAUACACAUCAACCCCAUCUUCCUUCUCAGAAACCCAAAUCAUGUCUUAAGAUACCUC
rnacentral:lncRNA from 1 species